ACGUCAAGUCGUCAUGGCCCUUACGGGAUGGGCUACACACGUGCUACAAUGGCGGUGACAGUGGGACGCGAAGGAGCGAUCUGGAGCAAAUCCCCAAAAGCCGUCUCAGUUCGGAUUGCACUCUGCAACUCGAGUGCAUGAAGGCGGAAUCGCUAGUAAUCGUGGAUCAGCAUGCCACGGUGAAUACGUUCCCGGGCCUUGUACACACCGCCCGUCACACCAUGGGAGUUGGUCUUACCCGACGGCGCUGCGCCAACCGCAAGGAGGCAGGCGACCACGGUAGGGUCAGCGACUGGGGUG
rnacentral:rRNA from 1 species